UCUCAUUGACUGACUUCACUCAGCAUGAUACCCUCCAGGUCCAUCCACGUUGAAGCAAAUGGCUGAUGGUUCUGUGAUGGUUGGUGUUAUAACAAGAUGAUCACCAUGGAGAGAUUGCAUUGGCAACAUGCCCACCGCUCCAAAUGCACAUGCUUCUGAGAACUGAUGUGGUUUCCACUGACUCUUGGAGGAUUUGAAUCUCAAAGAAAAGACAGAAUGUAUGACAAAUAAUUGAUACUGCUUCAGUCCUGAGUCUGGACUUCUGUGGAUACCUAGAUUACCAACAGUGUUCUGAUUCCAGUCCUUAUGGAGUAAUGCCCUUGGCUUGAAACUCAACCUAAGCUAGGAAAUAUAAGCAAAUAAAGCAACUCCAACCUAGGGAAAUGGAAAGAGAAAACAAGACAGCAAAAGCCUGGAUCUACUUCAAAGAUGAAAAUAACUGUCUGCUGUCAGUUACUUCCGCUUGUCAAAAAAUGGUGCCAAGGUGACCCAGGCUAAGACCAGGACCCAUGUGGACUUCCAUGUGUUACUCUGAUCUACAGCUAAAGACUAGUGUCCUAAUGGUUACUACACUUUUAGUCCAAAGAGAAGUGAUUUAGAGCGCCCAGGUCAGGAUGGACUCACAUCACCAUUCCUACAAAAUCCACUGCAAGUUCAUGCCCCACUGACCGUGAGUCAAUAGCGCUAAGUACAGCAGGAGAAGCAGAAUCUCAUUCAAAUUUAAAAGGAAUUGAUCAAAUUGGGAAAAAUUUAAACUAUCAUGCAUUAAAGCACAAACCAUUUAAGAAGCCCUGGGGAAAUUCAUUCCAGAAGUGGAGCACAGUAAUUUCUCACAAAAUGGAACAUGUUGAGGCCUACGUCGAGCAAUUCACAGAUAAAGAUCAAAGCCCACAUUUUCAGCUGGGAAAACUGGAUUCAAAAUAAAGAAACACACUAAAUCACAGAAUUUUGCUUGGUAAGUGUAAGUUCAGUAGUUUUUGAGCAAUUCAAUAAAUAUGACUUCCCAAGGACAAAUCUCUGUUUGUUUUCUUGAUCUUAUAAUAUUGUUUUUCACCGUUAAUCAAAUCCAAGAGUAUUCGCGCGCGCGCGCACACACACACAGGAAGUCAACCUGGCAGAAGAUGAACAGUAUCUGCCUCUGGAUCGCAAAAGCAGUUGUAAGACAUCUGCCUUUAAAUACUUCUUUUCUAGGCAGGAAACCAGAAAUGUUGGAGAGGAUAUGGAGAAAAGGGAACCCUCUUGCACUGUUGGUGGGAAUGUGAACUGGUGCAGCCACUCUGGAAAACUGUGUGGAGGUUCCUCAAAG